rnacentral:rRNA from 1 species
CCUACGGGAGACAGCAGUAGGGAAUAUUGCUCAAUGGGGGAAACCCUGAAGCAGCAACGCCGCGUGGAGGAUGAAGGUAUUAGGAUUGUAAACUCCUUUUGUUAGGGAAGAUUAUGACGGUAUCCAACGAAUAAGCAGCGUCUAACUCCGUGCCAGCAGCCGCGGGAAUACGGAGGGAGCAGGCGUUACUCGGAAUCACUGGGCGUAAAGAGUGCGUAGGCGGGGUAAUAAGUCAGAGGUGAAAUCCUGUAGCUUAACUACAGAACUGCAUUUGAAACUGGUACUCUGGAGUGUGGGAGAGGUAUGUGGAAUGCGUGGUGUAGCGGUGAAAUGCAUAGAGAUCGAGAGGAAUACUGAUUGCGAAGGCAGCCUGCUGGAUCAUUACUGACGCUGAUGCACGAAAGCGUGGGUAUCAAACAGGAUUAGAUACCCGUGUAGUC